rnacentral:lncRNA from 1 species
UGGAACAGUGAAGUCUAGUGGUAACCACAAUCCUUAGGAGUGCCUCUCCCUAGAACCCAGACACCAUGCUGAAUUGGUAUUCAGCUCCAUGCCUUGGUUUUUACUGUCACAGAAAGCAGUAACCACAUACAAAGGAAGCUGAAUUGCUAGGAAAUGGCAUGACAUGAAAACAAAAGACAUCAACUGAGACUUAAAUUCCACAGUUCUGGGAGAAGGACUGGCUCUCAAUCCACUGAGCCACUUAACUGUCCCCAAUGGACUCCACAUUUUAAGAACAUUGACACACUGGACUGGGUACCAAAGAAAAUUAAGAAGAUGAUGGGAGGACCAGAGUCAGAGCCAAGGAUAACUCAAAAUGAUGAAAAUGAGCCCCGAAGAGGCUAAGAUGUUUAGCCAAGGUGACCCAGAUGGAGAAAAGCAAGAGAUAAAUUGAGUUCAUCUGUCACAAAGCUGGCGGUUGGCAGAAACAGACGAGAGGAAAAUAGUCGUGCACCUGAGGAGUCAACUCUAGCAGAGUGGAAGGAAAGGCACUCGUGGUGGGGAGACAUGGGAAGACAGGGAGAAAGGCUUAGGGCCAAUCAAGUGACCCCAAAUCCUAUCUCCAUAACCACUAGGUGCUUUAUUUAAGACUCAGAAGAUGCAGCUGGAAAGAACUCUAAGCCACAACCUAGAAAGAUGUUUCCCUUUGCAUAUGGGAGUCAAUCAACAACCACUGAUUAAGCAAUUACUAUGAGCUGAUAACUAUGCUGAGUUCUCAGAAUUUUUUUUAAAUGAUCCCUGCCCUCAAGGAAAUUACAUUCAUAAAUCAGCACAUACAAGGCAUUCAUCCUUCAUUUUUCAUAAAGGACCAACAAGAA